UAAAGCGGCACCUACAUUUUCUACUCAGCAGAUGCAGUUGUCUUUCGAGCUGCUUAGGUCAACAGCAAGCUAGGCUAUUAAUUGAGUGCUCAAUCCAACCCAGGCUGUCUUUGAACUCAUGACCUCUUGGUCAGUAGUGAUUUAUUGCAGCUGGCUACUAACCAGCUGCGCCACAGCCCGGCCCCCUUCCAGUGUUUCCUGGCCUGGCAGGCGUCCCAAAAGCCACAUACACACACUUCCUUGGGUCAUGGGCAUGAUGGUUCAACCGGCCAAUUAUUAUUAUUAUUAUUAUUAUUAUUAUUAUUAUUAUUAUUAUUAUUAUUAUUACUAUCUGAAGACGCCAUUAGCCACAGAUGUAGGCGAAUCAUUAGGAGAUGACACAACAUCCCAAUAAUGAUGAUGAUGAUGAUGAUGAAUUUUUUGGUAGCCACUAGAGAUAUGCGUGAAAAUUUUUCCAUCGUUUCCUUCGUGCUAAAAUGUGGCUCCCAGUAUUAAAAAAAACUCUAAAAUCAGAACAGUAAAUAAGGAGCAACACUCUGAAAACAGGGGAAUUGCAGACAGGAAUCAAUCAGGGGGCAGCUAACACCUCCGAACAAAGGAUUCCCCCCAGGCAGGAAGAAGCCAGGACAUGAAGUUUACAAGGCCAUUGAUGCUAAUCAAGGUGAUUGAUUACAACAUCCACACUGGCAUCCAAGAGACAAGAGUUCUUUCUCCCACCUCAGAUCUUCCACAGAUAUAUAAACCUCUCUUCCCAACCUCUGAGGAUGCCUGCCAUAGAUGUGGGUGAAAUGUCAGGAGAGAAUGCUUCUGGAACAGGGCCAGACAGCCCGGAAAAACAUAAAACACACAACAACCCUCUGAAUGAUUCUCUCCUUUCCUCUUCCGCAGAAUUAAUUCUGCAACUUCGCUGCGGAUUGUAGAUAAUAAAUGGAAGUUCUUACGUGUCACCCGCAGAACAAUAACAUGCCACUCAGGUUUUCAGAACAAAAACACCAGAACAUACCUGAUUCCAAGAGAUCAAAAGAAAAGCAGUAGUGUUUACAAUGAUCCCCCUGAUCCACAGUCAUGAACAGUCUUUUUUCAGUCCACAAAUCUGCUUCAGAGAAGAAUACAGUCCGGGUUCUCCUCCCUAUUUUCUCAGCAGCAAACAGGCCUCGAAAUAGCAAGGCCUCUCUGAGUACACCGCUCUUCUUUUCCAGCAGUACUCAAAAAUUGUCCAAACUGGUUCUGCAGCAGCAGGACAGAAACAGUAUCGAAUCAAUUUCCAGAUCUUUGCAGGCUCAGCCAAUCGGCUUCAUGCACUUCAUUUUCCCGUUAACACACACAGCAUGACAGAAUGAAUGAAUGAAUGAAUGGGAGAGGAUUCUGAAUGGUCAAGAAUCCCAAACGCCCCAGCUGCCAUCUAGCGGCCACUCGUCAUCAAGACCACUUCCUCGGCUGUCCACAGAUCUGCUUCAGAGAAGAAUACACUCCUGGUUCUUCUCCCUCUUUUAUCAGCAGCAAACAGGCCUCAAAAUAGCAAGGCCUCUCUGAGUACACCGCUCUUCUUUUCCAUCAGUACUCAAAAAUUGUCCAAACUGGUUUUGCAGCAGCAGGACAGAAACAGUAUCGAAUCAGUACUCAAAAAUUGUCCAAACUGGUUCUGCAGCAGCAGAACAGAAACAGUAUCGAAUCAGUACUCAAAAAUUGUCCAGACUGGUUCUUCAGCAGCAGAACAGAAACAGUAUCGAAUCAGUACUCAAAAAUUGUCCAAACUGGUUCUGCAGCAGCAGAACAGAAACAGUAUCGAAUCAGUGCUCAAAAAUUGUCCAAACUGGUUCUGCAGCAGCAGAACAGAAACAGUAUCGAAUCAGUACUCAAAAAUUGUCCAAACUGGUUCUUCAGCAGCAGAACAGAAACAGUAUCGAAUCAGUACUCAAAAAUUGUCCAAACUGGUUCUGCAGCAGCAGAACAGAAACAGUAUCGAAUCAGUACUCAAAAAUUGUCCAGACUGGUUCUGCAGCAGCAGAACAGAAACAGUAUCGAAUCAGUACUCAAAAAUUGUCCAAACUGGUUCUGCAGCAGCAGAACAGAAACAGUAUCGAAUCAGUACUCAAAAAUUGUCCAAACUGGUUCUUCAGCAGCAGAACAGAAACAGUAUCGAAUCAGUACUCAAAAAUUGUCCAAACUGGUUCUGCAGUAGCAGAACAGAAACAGUAUCGAAUCAGUGCUCAAAAAUUGUCCAGACUGGUUCUUCAGCAGCAGAACAGAAACAGUAUCGAAUCAGUACUCAAAAAUUGUCCAAACUGGUUCUGCAGCAGCAGAACAGAAACAGUAUCGAAUCAGUACUCAAAAAUUGUCCAAACUGGUUCUGCAGCAGCAGAACAGAAACAGUAUUGAAUCAGUACUCCUGACUACUCCUGACAGGUGUUUCAAAGCUUCCACCAGACUCUGAGGCAGGGAGUUCCACUGCUGAACUGCUCUGAAGUUCUUCCUAGUGUUCAGGCGAAUCUUCUCCCCUGACAUUUGGACCCUUUGAGUCUGAAAGCAAUGGCAUAUUGGACAAGCAAGAGAACAGGGCCUUUUAUCCAUACAUCCAUGCAUCUACAGUAGAGUCUCACUUAUCCAACACUCGCUUAUCCAACGUUCUGGAUUAUCCAACGCAUUUUUGUAGCCAAUGUUUUCAAUACAUUGUGAUAUUUUGGUGCUAAAUUCGUAAAUACAGUAAUUACUACAUAGCAUGACUGCGUAUUGAACUACAGUAGAGUCUCACUUAUCCAACAUUCGCUUAUCCAACGUUCUGGAUUAUCCAACGCAUUUUUGUAGCCAAUGUUUUCAAUACAUCGUGAUAUUUUGGUGCUAAAUUCGUAAAUACAGUAAUUACUACAUAGCAUUACUGCGUAUUGAACUACAGUAGAGUCUCACUUAUCCAACGUUCUGGAUUAUCCAACGCAUUUUUGUAGCCAAUGUUUUCAAUACAUUGUGAUAUUUUGGUGCUAAAUUCGUACAUACAGUAAUUACUACAUAGCAUUACUGUGUAUUGAACUACAGUAGAGUCUCACUUAUCCAACAUUCGCUUAUCCAACGUUCUGGAUUAUCCAAUGCAUUUUUGUAGUCAAUGUUUUAAAUUCAUUGUGAUAUUUUAGUGCUAAAUUCGUAAAUACAGUAAUUACUACACAGCAUUACUGCAUAUUGAAUUACUUUUUCUGUCAAAUUUGUUGUCUAACAUGAUGUUUUGGUGCUUAAUUUGUAAAAUCAUAACCUAAUUUGAUGUUUAACAGGCUUUUCCUUAAUCUCUCCUUAUUAUCCAACAUAUUCGCUUAUCCAACGUUCUGCCGGCCCGUUUACGUUGGAUAAGUGAGACUCUACUGUAUUUCUAUAUCACACCUACCUAGGAGAAUAGUUUUAGGAUCAAGAGUGAUCUUUAUUGAUGAAUUUUUUUGUAUUUUGAAUAUUUUGGCCUUUUCACAAGACCACCAGCAGUGGGAAUGACUCCCUUGCUUUUCACCGCAUUUCCAGCAUUUAUUAGAUGUUGUUUUAUAAUAUUUUGCUAGUUUUUGGGGGGUGUUAAAGCGCUGAGCUGCUGGACUUGUGGACUGAAAGGCUGCAGGUUCGAAUCCAGUGAGCAGGGUGUGUUCCCAGCUCCUGCCAACCUAGCAGUUCGAAAACAUGCAAAUGUAAGUAGAUCAAUAGGUACCGCUCUGGCGGUAAGGUAACGGCGCUCCAUGCAGUCAUGCCAGUGGCCACAUGUCCUUGGAGGUGUCUAUGGACAACGCCAGCUCUUCAGCUUAGAAAUGGAGAUGAGCACCAAUCCUCAGAGUGUGAGUAGAUAAAUAGGUACUGCUCUGGCGGGAAGGUAACGGCGCUCCAUGCAGUCAUGCCAGUGGCCACAUGACCUUAGAGGUGUCUAUGGACAACGCCGGCUCUUCAGCUUAGAAAUGGAGAUGAGCACCAAUCCUCAGAGUGUGAGUAGAUCAAUAGGUACUGCUCUGGCGGGAAGGUAACGGCGCUCCAUGCAGUCUUGCCAGUGGCCACAUGACCUUGGAGGUGUCUACGGACAACGCCGGCUCUUCGGCUUAGAAAUGGAGACGAGCACCAACCUCCAGAGUGUGAGUAGAUCAAUAGGUACUGCUCUGGCAGGAAGCUAACCGGGCUCCAUGGAGUCAUGACCUUGGAGGUGUCUACGGACAACGCCGGCUCUUCGGCUUAGAAAUGGAGACGAGCACCAACCUCCAGAGUGUGAGUAGAUCAAUAGGUACUGCUCUGGCGGGAAGGUAACGGCGCUCCAUGCAGUCUUGCCAGUGGCCACAUGACCUUGGAGGUGUCUACGGACAACGCCGGCUCUUCGGCUUAGAAAUGGAGACGAGCACCAACCUCCAGAGUGUGAGUAGAUCAAUAGGUACUGCUCUGGCAGGAAGCUAACCGGGCUCCAUGGAGUCAUGACCUUGGAGGUGUCUACGGACAACGCCGGCUCUUCGGCUUAGAAAUGGAGACGAGCACCAACCUCCAGAGUGUGAGUAGAUCAAUAGGUACUGCUCUGGCAGGAAGCUAACCGGGCUCCAUGGAGUCAUGACCUUGGAGGUGUCUACGGACAACGCCGGCUCUUCGGCUUAGAAAUGGAGACGAGCAGCAACCCCCAGAGUGUGAGUAGAUCAAUAGGUACUGCUCUGGCGGGAAGGUAACGGCGCUCCAUGCAGUCUUGCCAGUGGCCACAUGACCUUGGAGGUGUCUACGGACAACGCCGGCUCUUCGGCUUAGAAAUGGAGACGAGCACCAACCUCCAGAGUGUGAGUAGAUCAAUAGGUACUGCUCUGGCAGGAAGCUAACCGGGCUCCAUGGAGUCAUGACCUUGGAGGUGUCUACGGACAACGCCGGCUCUUCGGCUUAGAAAUGGAGACGAGCAGCAACCCCCAGAGUGUGAGUAGAUCAAUAGGUACUGCUCUGGCGGGAAGGUAACGGCGCUCCAUGCAGUCUUGCCAGUGGCCACAUGACCUUGGAGGUGUCUACGGACAACGCCGGCUCUUCGGCUUAGAAAUGGAGACGAGCACCAACCUCCAGAGUGUGAGUAGAUCAAUAGGUACUGCUCUGGCAGGAAGCUAACCGGGCUCCAUGGAGUCAUGACCUUGGAGGUGUCUACGGACAACGCCGGCUCUUCGGCUUAGAAAUGGAGACGAGCACCAACCUCCAGAGUGUGAGUAGAUCAAUAGGUACUGCUCUGGCAGGAAGCUAACCGGGCUCCAUGGAGUCAUGACCUUGGAGGUGUCUACGGACAACGCCGGCUCUUCAGCUUAGAAAUUUCGGACACAAGUGGACUUAACGUCAGGGAAAGCCUUGACCUAUCUAAGCAAGCCUUUCCUUUGGGACUUCCUUUCACGUAUUGAUAUACGGCUCGCAUGCCUCCGCUCAGCCUUCUCCUCUGCAGGUAAACAUCCCGAGCUCUUUAAGACGCUCCUCAAGGGGAUUAUUCAUGGCCUCCAGACCUUUGAUCCUUCUCCUUCCUCCCUCCCAGGGCCGGGCAGAGGAAGGUGGCAAUGAUUAACCGCAAUGGCGAGGGACGGGGCAAGGUCCAGUGUGGGCGGUCAGGGCUCCCGGCCGGUCCCGGUCCCCCCCCCCCCAUCCUCCUCCUCUCCUGGAGCAGAGUGGCCGCCAUGCUGUCCGGCUUGACCUCCUGGCUGCUCUCCUGGCUGCCCACCUGGCCGGGCCUCGAGUGGGGCUCCAACUUGGUGGAUGCCUUCUUGCAAGGGCUGGUGGGCGCCUGUGCCAUCUCCGUCCUCUGCAGCCUGACGAAGGUCUUCCUCUACAUCCAGUGCCUCAAUGACCCCGACCGGCAGGCGGAGGAGGCGGCCCUUCGCCUGCGCCGCCCGCUCCUGGACCGGCUGCACCUCCCGGUGACGGCGGCCCUGCUGACGGUGGUGGGGUCCCGCGUGGCCGCGCUGGUGGUCCUCGAGUUCUCCCUCCGCGCCCUCUCCGCCCUCCUCUCCCUCGAGAAGGGGGCGCCCUCCUCCUCCUCCUCCUGGCAGAUGCUGCUGCUGCUCUGCCAGUUCUCGCUGGGCUGCGGCGUCUCCUGCAGCCUGGGCUUCCUCCAGGAGGGGGCGCCACACCGGACGGGGAACCUGCUGCUGGCGGUGCUGCUGGCCGCCCUGCUCUCCCGCCUCGGCGCCCGCCUGGCCUCCCACGCCCUGGCCCUCUACCGGCUCCACGCCGCCCAGCGCUACUGCGGGGUCUGCCUCUCCCUCCUGGCCGCCUGGCACCGCAUCCCGGCCCUGCUGCGCCGUGCCCUGGCCGCCGCCUUCCUGGUGGCCGACCUGUGCGCCGUGGCCCUCAUCAACCGGGACUUCCUCACCACCGCCGAGGCCCUGCGCUUCUGGACCCCGCUCACCAUCUGCUACACCCUCCUGGUCAUCUACAUGCAAGGUUCACUUGGAGGGAAACAAGGGGGUUAUGGGCCCAGCAUGCGCUCCUCCUCCUCUUCUUCUCCUCAUUCCUCUUCUUUGCUUCCUCCUUCUUCCUCUCCUUUGUCUUCUUCCUCUUCUCUUCAUCCUCACCACCGCCGAGGCCCUGCGCUUCUGGACCCCGCUCACCAUCUGCUACACCCUCCUGGUCAUCUACAUGCAAGGUUCACUGGGAAGGAAACAAGGGGGUUAUGGGCCCAGCAUGCGCUCCUCCUCCUCUUCUUCUCCUCAUUCCUCUUCUUUGCUUCCUCCUUCUUCCUCUCCUUUGUCUUCUUCCUCUUCUCUUCAUCCUCACCACCGCCGAGGCCCUGCGCUUCUGGACCCCGCUCACCAUCUGCUACACCCUCCUGGUCAUCUACAUGCAAGGUUCACUGGGAAGGAAACAAGGGGGUUAUGGGCCCAGCAUGCGCUCCUCCUCCUCUUCUUCUCCUCAUUCCUCUUCUUUGCUUCCUCCUUCUUCCUCUCCUUUGUCUUCUUCCUCUUCUCUUCAUCCUCACCACCGCCGAGGCCCUGCGCUUCUGGACCCCGCUCACCAUCUGCUACACCCUCCUGGUCAUCUACAUGCAAGGUUCACUGGGAAGGAAACAAGGGGGUUAUGGGCCCAGCAUGCGCUCCUCCUCCUCUUCUUCUCCUCAUUCCUCUUCUUUGCUUCCUCCUUCUUCCUCUCCUUUGUCUUCUUCCUCUUCUCUUCAUCCUCACCACCGCCGAGGCCCUGCGCUUCUGGACCCCGCUCACCAUCUGCUACACCCUCCUGGUCAUCUACAUGCAAGGUUCACUGGGAAGGAAACAAGGGGGUUAUGGGCCCAGCAUGCGCUCCUCCUCCUCUUCUUCUCCUCAUUCCUCUUCUUUGCUUCCUCCUUCUUCCUCUCCUUUGUCUUCUUCCUCUUCUCUUCAUCCUCACCACCGCCGAGGCCCUGCGCUUCUGGACCCCGCUCACCAUCUGCUACACCCUCCUGGUCAUCUACAUGCAAGAGGAGCAGCGGCAGAACCCCUCUGAGCAGAUGGCCUUCCAGACGGUCUUUGUGCGGAUGGGGGGCCUCCUGGUCCUGCUGAUGACGGUGGGGCGCUGGGCGGACAUCGCCAGCCUCCUGGUCUCCCUGGUGGGGGAGCUCUGGUGCCUCCUGCACGCCCGGGCCAUGAUGGACAUCUGCCGCAAACAGGACUUCUCCCAGCGGUCGUCCCACUCUCCAUCCUCCUCGCAGCGGCACCCAAAAAGGCGUGAAGACCAGCCCACAAGAUCCUAAAGCAGAGAGAUCCAGCAGAGGAGAUCCAGCGGGAUCUAGUUGUGAUUGUGUCCAUGGGUGAGUUGUGUUGGAAGGGUCCGACGAGUCCAUUACACUGGCCCAUUGAGACCCUCCUUCAGGGAAGAAGCAUCACGGAUGACGGCCAUCUGCUUUGAUUGUGUUUUCCUGGCUGGCAGAAGGAGGUUGGAUUGGAUGGCCUUUGGGGGUCCCUUCCAACCCUAGGGGUCUCUCACCUCGCUAUUUCUCUCAGCCAUAUCUGUCAUAUCGACGCUUAUCCAAUACUUUUAUUUUUCAGUGAUUGUUUGCGGGGGGCACCAAAAUUCUGUUCGCUUACACUUGAAAAUUACCUAGGGCUGGCCCUGUAAUUAAAAGUUGCUGAUAAGAACUGGGACAAAUGAUUAACUGUUGACAUUGUUGACUUGAUGAACUUUUGGGGGGAAACAACGUGUUUACAUUAACCAGAGACCAUUGCUCUUUUAAGUGAAGGAAAUGUUUACAAGAUUCCUUAGGUUAAGAAGGAAGUCGGCACAAGGCUAACACCAAUCAAGAAGAGUCAACAGCGGCCCGGAAACUGAGACGUAGCCAAGAUGUUUCAGGAUGACCAAACAACCUAUUCGCAAGUUACUAUUUUGGGACAACAUCAGCAUAAUACUGCUACAUAAGUGACCUUAUUACAAUCCAAAAUCUCCCAGCAUAUUGUUUGUUCAUUAGCCAAUGUAACUGUAAGUUGUUGUGGAAUCCGUGGCAGUUACAUAGAAUCCGUAUGUCUAAAUGAUGAGCCACGAUCUCACCACGGUCGCUUUGUUCCAAGCGGCGAAGGGAUCGUUCGAGAGCAAAAACUGGAUCAAGGAAACUGGAAAGUAUGACGUGCUUCACAAAGAGAGAAGAAAUGCGGAAAUGUUUACAUUUGCCACCUCCAAUCAUUAUUACAUUCGACUGGUUCCAAAGCUUUCGUAGAUAUUUCAGAGUUGUAAUAAAAGUGUUACCACCGUUAUCUCGGCCUUGUUCCUUUCCUUCUUCUUCUGGACUGACACCGAUGGGAGAUUCCCUCCUGGGCACACGGAAGACUGGGAAACGGUGGCCAUGGCUCGCCUUAGCCACCAGGGGGCGCGCCCUGAUUCCCUGCCUGUGCUCAGGCCCAAAAGCCGGGUGGCCUUCUGCCGGGGCUGGUUUGAUUGUGAUUCCUCUGGGUGAAGAAAAAAAGGGUUGGCCCAUGCCGUCUCUCUCAACUCUAUUAUCCUUGUUGCCUACACUCUGGGAAAGAUAGAGUGGGUAUAAAUAUAAUAAUAAUAAUAAUAAUAAUAAUAAUAAUAAUAAUAAUAAUAAUAAUAAUAUAAAAUAAUCCAGCAUAUCUAUCUUGUUUGCUGUGUCAUAAUAAUAAUAAUAAUAAUAAUAAUAAUAAUAAUAAUAAUAAUAAUAAUAAUAAAUAAUCCAUAAUUUUAAUAAUAAAAUCCAUAGGUUAGAGCAAUGUUGGAGUUGGGACCUUUUGUAAAAGCGCUCAAGACUUGGCUGUUUGGUUGUGCAUUUAACUAAAUCAGAUCUAAUUUGCCAAAUAGUCACUGUUGAAUGUUUUUAGGUUGAAUGUUUUUAUGUUGAAUGUUUUUAUAUUGUGGGAUGAUAUUUUGAAUUGCAAGUCGCUCGGAGCACUCUGGUGAAGAGCGACUAAUUAAGAAAUAAAGUGAAGUGAAGAUA